rnacentral:rRNA from 1 species
AACGAACGCUGGCGGCAGGCCUAACACAUGCAAGUCGAGCGCGCCCUUCGGGGUGAGCGGCGGUCGGGUGAGUAACGCGUGGGAACGUGCCCUUUUCUACGGAAUAGCCUCGGGAAACUGAGAGUAAUACCGUAUACGCCCUUUGGGGGUAAGAUUUAUCGGAAAAGGAUCGGCCCGCGUUGGAUUCGGUAGUUGGUGGGGUAAUGGCCUACCAAGCCGACGAUCCAUAGCUGGUUUGAGAGGAUGAUCAGCCACACUGGGACUGAGACACGGCCCAGACUCCUACGGGAGGCAGCAGUGGGGAAUCUUAGACAAUGGGGGCAACCCUGAUCUAGCCAUGCCGCGUGAGUGAUGAAGGCCUUAGGGUUGUAAAGCUCUUUCAGCUGGGAAGAUAAUGACGGUACCAGCAGAAGAAGCCCCGGCUAACUCCGUG